UACGUAGGGUGCAAGCGUUAAUCGGAAUUACUGGGCGUAAAGCGUGCGCAGGCGGUUUUGUAAGUCUGACGUGAAAUCCCCGGGCUCAACCUGGGAAUGGCGAUGGAUACUGGACAGCUAGAGUGUGUCAGAGGAUGGUGGAAUUCCCGGUGUAGCGGUGAAAUGCGUAGAGAUCGGGGGGAACAUCAGUGGCGAAGGCGGCCAUCUGGGACAACACUGACGCUGAAGCACGAAAGCGUGGGGAGCAAACAGG
rnacentral:rRNA from 1 species